UGCGGAUGUGGCGGAAUUGGUAGACGCGCUAGAUUUAGGUUCUAGUGUCUUUGAUGUGUGGGUUCGAGUCCCUCCAUCCGCAU
rnacentral:tRNA from 7 species